UGGGGAAUAUUGCACAAUGGGCGCAAGCCUGAUGCAGCCAUGCCGCGUGUAUGAAGAAGGCCUUCGGGUUGUAAAGUACUUUCAGCGGGGAGGAAGGUGUUGAGGCUAAUAACCUCAGCAAUUGACGUUACCCGCAGAAGAAGCACCGGCUAACUCCGUGCCAGCAGCCGCGGUAAUACGGAGGGUGCAAGCGUUAAUCGGAAUUAGUGGGCGUAAAGCGCACGCAGGCGGUCUGUCAAGUCGGAUGUGAAAUCCCCGGGCUCAACCUGGGAACUGCAUUCGAAACUGGCAGGCUAGAGUCUUGUAGAGGGGGGUAGAAUUCCAGGUGUAGCGGUGAAAUGCGUAGAGAUCUGGAGGAAUACCGGUGGCGAAGGCGGCCCCCUGGACAAAGACUGACGCUCAGGUGCGAAAGCGUGGGGAGCAAACA
rnacentral:rRNA from 1 species